GCCUUCGUGGUGUAACGGUAGCACACUGGGCGCGUAUUCGAGAGCUCCAGGUUCGAAUCCCGUCGAGGGCA
rnacentral:tRNA from 1 species